rnacentral:lncRNA from 1 species
AAAAAUACGUCCUUUAUUUAUGAUAAAAAUGCAAGUGUCACAUAGAUGGGCCCUACAAUGAGUCAUUACGCCCUGGGCGGAACGUAAGACUUGGAUAUGCAUGAAUAAACAAAGAAAAUUACUCUUCAAGAAGAGUGACUUGGAUAAUCUCUUCAGAAGACCAAUUGUUGAGAACUUCACCCGGGAUCCUCGGACGCACCCAGUUGUCAAUGUCACA